rnacentral:rRNA from 1 species
GACGAACGCUGGCGGCGUGCCUAAUACAUGCAAGUAGAACGCUGAAGCUUGGUGCUUGCACCGAGCGGAUGAGUUGCGAACGGGUGAGUAACGCGUAGGUAACCUGCCUGGUAGCGGGGGAUAACUAUUGGAAACGAUAGCUAAUACCGCAUAAUAGUAGAUGUUGCAUGACAUUUGCUUAAAAGGUGCAAUUGCAUCACUACCAGAUGGACCUGCGUUGUAUUAGCUAGUUGGUGAGGUAACGGCUCACCAAGGCAACGAUACAUAGCCGACCUGAGAGGGUGAGCGGCCACACUGGGACUGGGACACGGCCCAGACUCCUACGGGAGGCAGCAGUAGGGAAUCUUCGGCAAUGGACGGAAGUCUGACCGAGCAACGCCGCGUGAGUGAAGAAGGUUUUCGGAUCGUAAAGCUCUGUUGUAAGAGAAGAACGAGUGUGAGAGUGGAAAGUUCACACUGUGACGGUAUCUUACCAGAAAGGGACGGCUAACUACGUG